rnacentral:lncRNA from 1 species
GGCUAUAAUAUUGGCGAAAGACAAUGUCAAAUGACCUCAGACAAGUAAAUCAUCAGCUUCCGAGUGCAUCAUUGACACCCUUCAUCACAACCAUUAAAAGGUGCAGAGUUUUAUAAGGAAGGAAAUGACAGAAAAACAAAUAAAUUCAGCAGUUGGAGUAUUAUUCAGGUUGAAGAAAUAAGAAGACCUUAAAGUCUGACUUUAC